UCGGGGUGGGAGUCGUGCGGCGCGCCGGCGUACGCGCGCAGUGUGAGCGAGUGCGAGCGCGGGGAACGCGGGGAGCGCGGGGAGCGCGGGGAGCGACGUGCCGCGCUCGCUGACAACGCACGCGCGCUCUCCCUGGAGCUGGACAAACAGCAACCUGCACCAUCCAAUAUUACUGGAAGUGGAAGAAGAAAUAGAGAUUUCACCGCGAAGAUACUCAUCGUUUGGCUAGAGGACUUCGAGGAUCAUCUGAAUCUACCAGUCGAUGAUCUGCUGCGGUACUGCGAGACGGGCGUGUCAUGGCGGCGGCAGGAGGUGAGCGUGGUGUGUGUGAGCGCGGUGCGGGGCGGGCUGGUGCGGGU